rnacentral:rRNA from 1 species
GAUGAACGCUAGCGGCAGGCUUAAUACAUGCAAGUCGAGGGGCAGCAGGGGUGUAGCAAUACAUCUGCUGGCGACCGGCAAACGGGUGCGGAACACGUACGCAACUUACCCAUAACUGGGGGGAUAGCCCGGGGAAACCCGGAUUAAUACCUCGUAAGAUAAUGGAGUGGCAUCACUUUAUUAUUAUAGCUCCGGCGGUUAUGGAUGGGCGUGCGGCUGAUUAGGUAGUUGGGCGGGUAACGGCCCACCAAGCCUGCGAUCAGUAACUGGUGUGAGAGCACGACCAGUCACACGGGCACUGAGACACGGGCCCGACUCCUACGGGAGGCAGCAGUAAGGAAUAUUGGUCAAUGGACGCAAGUCUGAACCAGCCAUGCCGCGUGAAGGAUGAAGGUCCUCUGG